rnacentral:rRNA from 1 species
UACGAAGGAUGCAAGCGUUAUCCGGAUUCAUUGGGUUUAAAGGGAGCGUAGGUGGACCUGUAAGUCAGUGGUGAAAUCUCUCAGCUUAACUGAGAAACUGCCAUUGAUACUGCAAGUCUAGAGUAUAGAUGACGUUGGCGGAAUAUGACAUGUAGUGGUGAAAUACUUAGAUAUGUCAUAGAACACCGAUUGCGAAGGCAGCUAACGAAACUAUAACUGACGCUGAGGCACGAAAGUGCGGGGAUCAAACAGG